rnacentral:rRNA from 1 species
UAACAACGACUCUCGGCAACGGAUAUCUCGGCUCUCGCAUCGAUGAAGAACGUAKCGAAAUGCGAUACUUGGUGUGAAUUGCAGAAUCCCGUGAACCAUCGAGUCUUUGAACGCAAGUUGCGCCCGAAGCCAUCCGGCCAAGGGCACGUCUGCCUGGGCGUCACACACC